rnacentral:rRNA from 1 species
UACGAAGGGGGCUAGCGUUGUUCGGAUUCAUUGGGCGUAAAGGGCGCGUAGGCUGCGGGGCAAGUCGGGUGUGAAAUCUCAGAGCUCAACUCUGAAACUGCACUCGAUACUGCUUUGCUCGAGGACUGGAGAGGAGAUUGGAAUUCACGGUGUAGCAGUGAAAUGCGUAGAUAUCGUGAGGAAGACCAGUGGCGAAGGCGGAUCUCUGGACAGUUCCUGACGCUGAGGCGCGAAGGCCAGGGGAGCAAACGGG